rnacentral:rRNA from 1 species
UGAUGGGGAAGCCCUUCGGGGCGAAGUAGCUGAUUUCACACUGUCAAGAAAAGCUUCUAUCGAGUUUAAAGGCGCCCGUACCGUAAACCGACACAGGUGGGUGAGGAGAGUAUCCUAAGGCCAGCGAGAGAACUAUUGUUAAGGAACUCGGCAAAAUGACCCCGUAACUUAGGGAGAAGGGGUGCCUGUCUAUGACAGGCCGCAGAGAAUAGGCCCAAGCGACUGUUUACCAAAAACACAGGUUUCUGCUAAGUCGCAAGACGAUGUAUAGGAGCUGACGCCUGCCCGGUGCUGGAAGGUUAAGGGGAUCUGUUAGAGCAAUCGAAGCAGUGAACUUAAGCCCCAGUAAACGGCGGCCGUAACAAUAACGGUCCUAAGGUAGCGAAAUUCCUUGUCGGGUAAGUUCCGACCCGCACGAAAGGCGUAACGAUUUGGGCACUGUCUCAACAAUAGACUCGGUGAAAUUGUAAUCCCGGUGAAGAUGCCGGGUACCUGCGACAGGACGGAAAGACCCCAUGGAGCUUUACUGUAGCUUGACGUUGGGUCUUGGUACUACAUGUACAGGAUAGGUGGGAGACUAUGAAGCAUGGACGCCAGUCUGUGUGGAGUCAUCCUUGGGAUACCACCCUUGUAGUACUGGGAUCCUAACCAUAGGCCUUGAAUCAGGUCUUGGAACACCGUCAGGUGGGCAGUUUGACUGGGGCGGUCGCCUCCUAAAAAGUAACGGAGGCGCUCAAAGGUUUCCUCAGCACGGUCGGAAAUCGUGCGAAGAGUGUAAAGGCAAAAGGAAGCUUGAUUGCAAGACAUACAGGUCGAGCAAGGACGAAAGUCGGACUUAGUGAUCCGGUGGUACCGCAUGGAAGGGCCAUCGCUCAACGGAUAAAAGCUACCCUGGGGAUAACAGGCUUAUCUCCCCCAAGAGUCCACAUCGACGGGGAGGUUUGGCACCUCGAUGUCGGCUCAUCACAUCCUGGGGCUGUAGUAGGUCCCAAGGGUUGGGCUGUUCGCCCAUUAAAGUGGUACGCGAGCUGGGUUCAGAACGUCGUGAGACAGUUCGGUCCCUAUCCGUCGCAGGCGUAGGAAAUUUGAGAAGACCUGUCCUUAGUACGAGAGGACCGGGAUGGACGUACCUCUGGUGUACCAGUUGUUCUGCCAAGGGCAUGGCUGGGUAGCUAUGUACGGAAUGGAUAAGCGCUGAAAGCAUCUAAGCGCGAAGCCAACUUCAAGAUAAGAUUUCCCACCGUAA